GAGAAACACUGCUAACACAACACUGACUCAUGCUAACACAAAGCUAGCGAAGAACCUAGAGUGAGCAUGUGCCAACCUAAGCCCAAAAGCCAGAGCCGAAUCUUCAACAGGUGAGAGUGCAUUAGCCAGACCCAGACCCAUGGGUCUGACAAGUCUUUAGAAGGAACAGGAACCAAGGCCUGUCACGGCGCAUUCAGCUGCCACCAGCUUACACUAAAAUCAGCUCCGCUCUGCUCAACAUCUACUGAGUUUAACUCUACAGGUUGCAGCCAAAGUCACACAGUGUGGAAUUCACGCUCGCACCCUGAUGAAAGGACGUGGAGGCUAACUCAUCUAAAUGCUAGGUCAGGCCUUCACCGUCAAGGCUGUUUUUCUGCUCGUUCCCUCAUCGUGACCUGGCACCUUUCUCAAAGUUCACUUCUUUAAAAAUCCCCCAUUAAGCCCCUGCUGGCAUAGAAUAGUUGGACCUCUGCUCCAGAUCACCCAGCGAUGCCUAUCCUCCACCUUUUAUUUCAUUCGUGAGUGACUCUGAAUGCAAAGUAUCUAUUUAUAGAUUUGUCAUUCAUCCCUUUUCCCUAAUCAAGCCGUGUUGUUUCGCCAACAGUUAUGCUUCCCUACAUCUGUUUCUAAUUCCUUGGGGGGGGAAACGGGAUAAUAAAUCCACCUCUAUCAGUAAAGAUUUAGAGAGAAGGGUUAAUUGAGAUAUGUGGAUAUGGGCAUCAGAUUACUUCGCUAAAAGCCUUUAUUUCAAGAAAGAAUAAUGGCUCACUUCAAGUAAUUUAGUCCUAAUUUUGAUCUAUGUAUGGU